GAUGAACGCUGGCGGCGUGCCUAAUACAUGCAAGUCGAGCGAACAGACGAGGAGCUUGCUCCUCUGACGUUAGCGGCGGACGGGUGAGUAACACGUGGAUAACCUACCUAUAAGACUGGGAUAACUUCGGGAAACCGGAGCUAAUACCGGAUAAUAUAUUGAACCGCAUGGUUCAAUAGUGAAAGACGGUUUUGCUGUCACUUAUAGAUGGAUCCGCGCCGCAUUAGCUAGUUGGUAAGGUAACGGCUUACCAAGGCGACGAUGCGUAGCCGACCUGAGAGGGGGAUAGGCCACACUGGAGGUGAGACACGGUCCAGGCUCCUAAGGGAGGCAGCAGUAGGGAAUCUGCCGCAGUGGGCGAAAGCCUGACGGAGUAGCGCGGCGUGAAUGAUGACGGUCUUCGGAUCGUAAAACUCUGUUAUGAGGGAAGAACAAAUGUGUAAGUAACUGUGCACGUCUUGACGGUACCUAAUCAGAAAGCAACGGCUAACUACGUG
rnacentral:rRNA from 1 species